GUUCACUGAUUUGAAGAGCUUGCUCAGAUAUGACGAUGGACAUUGCAAAGAGUGGCGAACGGGUGAGUAACACGUGGGAAACCUACCUCUUAGCAGGGGAUAACAUUUGGAAACAGAUGCUAAUACCGUAUAACAAUGACAACCGCAUGGUUGUUAUUUAAAAGAUGGUUCUGCUAUCACUAAGAGAUGGUCCCGCGGUGCAUUAGCUAGUUGGUAAGGUAAUGGCUUACCAAGGCGAUGAUGCAUAGCCGAGUUGAGAGACUGAUCGGCCACAAUGGGACUGAGACACGGCCCAUACUCCUACGGGAGGCAGCAGUAGGGAAUCUUCCACAAUGGGCGAAAGCCUGAUGGAGCAACGCCGCGUGUGUGAUGAAGGGUUUCGGCUCGUAAAACACUGUUGUAAGAGAAGAAUGACAUUGAGAGUAACUGUUCAAUGUGUGACGGUAUCUUACCAGAAAGGAACGGCUAAAUACGUGCCAGCAGCCGCGGUAAUACGUAUGUUCCAAGCGUUAUCCGGAUUUAUUGGGCGUAAAGCGAGCGCAGACGGUUAUUUAAGUCUGAAGUGAAAGCCCUCAGCUCAACUGAGGAAUUGCUUUGGAAACUGGAUGACUUGAGUGCAGUAGAGGAAAGUGGAACUCCAUGUGUAGCGGUGAAAUGCGUAGAUAUAUGGAAGAACACCAGUGGCGAAGGCGGCUUUCUGGACUGUAACUGACGUUGAGGCUCGAAAGUGUGGGUAGCAAACAGGAUUAGAUACCCUGGUAGUCCACACCGUAAACGAUGAGUGCUAGGUGUUUGAGGGUUUCCGCCCUUAAGUGCCGCAGCUAACGCAUUAAGCACUCCGCCUGGGGAGUACGACCGCAAGGUUGAAACUCAAAGGAAUUGACGGGGACCCGCACAAGCGGUGGAGCAUGUGGUUUAAUUCGAAGCAACGCGAAGAACCUUACCAGGUCUUGACAUCCCUUGACAACUCCAGAGAUGGAGCGUUCCCUUCGGGGACAAGGUGACAGGUGGUGCAUGGUUGUCGUCAGCUCGUGUCGUGAGAUGUUGGGUUAAGUCCCGCAACGAGCGCAACCCUUAUUACUAGUUGCCAGCAUUCAGUUGGGCACUCUAGUGAGACUGCCGGUGACAAACCGGAGGAAGGUGGGGAUGACGUCAAAUCAUCAUGCCCCUUAUGACCUGGGCUACACACGUGCUACAAUGGCGUAUACAACGAGUUGCCAACCCGCGAGGGUGAGCUAAUCUCUUAAAGUACGUCUCAGUUCGGAUUGUAGGCUGCAACUCGCCUACAUGAAGUCGGAAUCGCUAGUAAUCGCGGAUCAGCACGCCGCGGUGAAUACGUUCCCGGGUCUUGUACACACCGCCCGUCACACCAUGAGAGUUUGUAACACCCAAAGCCGGUGG
rnacentral:rRNA from 1 species